UGUCCCUACGGGACGCAGCAGUGAGGAAUAUUGGUCAAUGGGAGGAAUCCUGAACCAGCCAUGCCGCGUGCAGGACGACGGCUCUACGAGUUGUAAACUGCUUUUGUACCGGGGUAAAAUGCUCUACGAGUAGGGUUUUGAAAGUACGGUACGAAUAAGGAUCGGCUAACUCCGUGCCAGCAGCCGCGGUAAUACGGAGGAUCCGAGCGUUAUCCGGAUUCAUUGGGGUUAAAGGGUGCGUAGGUUGUUUUAUAAGUUAGCGGUGAAAUACCGAUGCUAAACAUCGGGGCUGCCGCUG
rnacentral:rRNA from 1 species